GGCUCCAUAGUGUAGUUGUUAUCAUGUCUGCUUUAGGCUCAGAAGGUCUUGGGUUUGCAUCCCAGGUGGAACCA
rnacentral:tRNA from 1 species